rfam:Simian immunodeficiency virus isolate SIVcpzMB66, complete genome.
ACCAAGGCAAAAAGAAGAACGGUGCAUAGGGAAAAAAGAGCAGCCGUAGGAUUGGGAGCUUUGUUCCUUGGGUUCUUGGGAGCAGCAGGAAGCACUAUGGGCGCAGCGUCACUGACGCUGACGGUACAGGCCAGACAACUGCUGUCUGGUAUAGUGCAGCAGCAGAGCAAUCUGCUGAGAGCCAUAGAGGCGCAACAGCAUCUGUUGCAACUCUCAGUCUGGGGCAUUAAACAGCUUCAGGCACGGGUUCUUGCUGUGGAGAGAUACCUAAAGGAUCAACAGCUCUUAGGACUAUGGGGCUGCUCUGGAAAACUCAUUUGCACCACUUCUGUGCCUUGGA